AUUGAACGCUGGCGGCAGGCCUAACACAUGCAAGUCGAGCGGAGCGGCGGUCGCGUGCGUAAUGCCUAGGAAUCUGCCUGGUAGCGGGGGAUAACGUCCGGAAACGGACGCUAAUACCACAUACUAUCACAUGCGCAUAGGUCGGAUUGGCUAGUUGGUGGGGUAAGGGCCUACCAGGGCGACGAUCCGUAACUGGUCUGAGUGGAUGAUCAGUCACACUGGAACUGAGACACGGUCCAGACUCCUACGGGAGGCAGCAGUGGGGAAUAUUGGACAAUGGGUGCAAGCCUGAUCCAGCCAUGCCGCGUGUGUGAAGAAGGUCUUCGGAUUGUAAAGCACUUUAAGUUGGGAGGCGUUACCAACAGAAUAAGCACCGGCUAACUUCGUGCCAGCAGCCGCGGUAAUUC
rnacentral:rRNA from 1 species